CAAUUUGGUCCCGAGGUAAGGAAUAAACAGUUACACCAAAAGAUGCAGUCAAUACAGCCAGAACCACACCUGUAACCCAAGUUAAUUCGCGAGGUUUUUUAAAUCCCCCGGUGAGAUACACACGAAUUACAUGCAGGAUCAUCAUUAGAAACAUCAUACUUGCCGACCAUCGAUGAACUGAUCGGAUUAACCAACCAAAAUUAGCUUCAAUCAUUAUAUAUUGAACCGAAGCAAAAGCGUCAAUAACGGUCGGAUGAUAGUAAAAAGUCAUAGCAAACCCCGUAGCCACUUGUACUAAAAAACAAGUAAGCGUAAUACCUCCUAGUCAAUAAAAUAUGUUAACAUGAGGAGGAAUGUAUUUACUAGUUAUAUCAUCCGCAAUCGUUUGAAUCUCGAGACAUUCUUCAAACCAAUCAUAGACUUUAUUGAGAUAGGUGGGACUCCUGCUCCGAGAACCGUAUAUGAGACUUUUAUCUCGUACGGCUCAAGCAAAACACCCAAAUACUAGUUUGAACAGAUAUUUAAUAGAAAGUUUGAAACUUCUUUUCUUAAUCUCUAAUUUAAUCUUCUCUGAAGAUACGAAGGGAAACGAGAAAAAUUCGAAAUUUCUUCUUUGUGAAGAUAAUACCAAAAUAUUAAGUUGGCUCAGUCGUCUUUAUCUUGAUCCUUAUGGGCCUCUUGAAUCCUCUCUUUCCCUAUUUCUUUUUCUUUGAUUUGUUUUUGUAUGUAAUGUGGCUUUUAUUAUUUGUUUUCUUUAUUAUUGAUAGGAAUUCUCUUGUUAAGACCCUAUGAAUCGAUUAAAACCUCAGAUUCAUACUAGAACCACGAUGAUUCAAUAAAAAUCCUAACCUAAGCCCAAGGAUUCCCUGAGUAAGAACCUUUGGAUCAUCACUUAUUCCACGAAUAGAUAUAAUGACUAUAAAUCGAAAGAAAGGUUCAUUUUUAGUCAAAUAUAAGCAUAAACAGAAAUUUGAAAGAAGACAAACCUUUCUUUCGAUUUACAAAUUCUAAUUCUUUGAAAAUUUUUUGGAGUCCGGCCGCGAGGUCUGAAUAUUAAGUAUGAAUCAUAGUUCAACUAUUUCUUAAUCUAUUUCAUAUAUUCCGUGUUCCGGAUACUAGAAUAAAUAUCCGACGGAGUAGAACCACCUCUAUCAAGAUGACAGACCCGUUCACUGUACUAUCAAUAGGAUCAAUUAUAACAAGUCACACACUCAUAUUCCAGAAAUACAGAAACAAAGAAAUUCCGCGGUCGAACUACCAAAAUAGAAUGGGCUGGGCUAGAAAUACACGAUCUAAAUGAUUCUUUUUUUAUUGAAAAAAGCUAGGACUUUGAGGUUCUUAUAGAUCUAAUUCAUUGAAAUUUCAUCCAAUAAAACGGAAGAAUUAUAAAUCUCCAAAAUAAUAGAUAGAAAUAUCGCAAAUAGGGCCAUUGCGACACCCAUCAAAGGAGUCGUUCCCCAUCCAGGAGCUACUUUACCAUAUUCCGAAUUCAAUGGUUUCAAUAAAUUCCCUACAGUAGUUGGUUUUGGACGAGAUCUAGAACCGUUCUCAACAGUUUGUGUAGCCAUAAAUCCUAUU
rnacentral:lncRNA from 1 species